UACAGAGGGUGCGAGCGUUGUCCGGAAUCACUGGGCGUAAAGGGCGCGUAGGCGGCUUUUCAAGCGUGCGGUGAAAGCUCGGGGCUUAACCCAGAAAGGUCAACUGAUACUGCGGGGCUAGAGUGCAGAAGGGGCAACUGGAAUUCUCGGUGUAGCGGUGAAAUGCGCAGAUAUCGGGAGGAACACCUGUGGCGAAGGCGACCCCCUGGUUGGAUACUGACGCUGAGACGCGAAAGCGUGGGGAGCAAACAGG
rnacentral:rRNA from 1 species